UACGUAGGGUGCGAGCGUUAAUCGGAAUUACUGGGCGUAAAGCGUACGCAGGCGGCUUGGUAAGACAGAUGUGAAAUCCCCGGGCCCAACCUGGGAACUGCAUUUGUGACUGCCAGGCUCGAGUCUGUCAGAGGGGGGUGGAAUUCCACGUGUAGCAGUGAAAUGCGUAGAGAUGUGGAGGAACACCGAUGGCGAAGGCAGCCCCCUGGGAUGAGACUGACGCUCAUGUACGAAAGCGUGGGGAGCAAACAGG
rnacentral:rRNA from 1 species